UACGUAGGUGGCAAGCGUUGUCCGGAAUUAUUGGGCGUAAAGCGCGCGCAGGUGGUUUCUUAAGUCUGAUGUGAAAGCCCACGGCUCAACCGUGGAGGGUCAUUGGAAACUGGGGAACUUGAGUGCAGGAGAGAAGAGUGGAAUUCCACGUGUAGCGGUGAAAUGCGCAGAUAUCAGGAGGAACACCGGUGGCGAAGGCGGGUCUCUGGGCCGAAACUGACGCUGAGGAGCGAAAGCGUGGGGAGCAAACAGG
rnacentral:rRNA from 1 species